UACGAGGGGGGCGAGCGUUGUUCGGAAUUAUUGGGCGUAAAGGGUGUGUAGGCGGUUUUUUAAGUUUGGUGUGAAAUCUCCCGGCUCAACUGGGAGGGUGCGCCGAAUACUGAAAGACUAGAGUGCGGGAGAGGAAAGUGGAAUUCCUGGUGUAGCGGUGAAAUGCGUAGAUAUCGGAAGGAACACCUGUGGCGAAAGCGGCUCACUGGACCAUUACUGACGCUGAUGCACGAAAGCUAGGGGAGCAAACAGG
rnacentral:rRNA from 1 species